UGAGAAUCUAUAGAGAAGUAAUUGACCUGAACUAUACCACCCGUCUCUGAUCCAAUUUCAUCAUCGAGGCCGUUCGUGUUUCCGGCUGAGGCAGCAGUAAUUAACGCUUCAGAGUCGGAGUUGGGGUUCGGCUGAAGUAUCUCCCAAUCUUGAAACUCUGCUGUCUCAACAUCCAUGGCUCGGACGAUCAAACCCUAAAUUAGGAAAGAGAACUACAGAGCGAGAGAAGAGAGAGGAAAAGGGUUUUUUGAAUAGAAUCAACUACCUUCGGAUUGGGGGGUCACCCCUGGAAAUGACACCUCACCCUAUGGUCCCAAAUAUCUACUUCUUUAAUUGUGCAUUUUUAUCUACUUGACGUGUGGAUAUUAUUUGAACUGCUCCUGCUAUCCC
rnacentral:lncRNA from 1 species